rnacentral:rRNA from 1 species
GUGCCAGCAGCCGCGGUAAUACGUAGGGGGCAAGCGUUGUCCGGAAUCAUUGGGCGUAAAGAGCGUGUAGGCGGCCCGAUAAGUCCGCUGUGAAAGUCCAGGGCUCAACCCUGGAAUGCCGGUGGAUACUGUCGGGCUCGAAUCCGGAAGAGGUGAGUGGAAUUCCUGGUGUAGCGGUGAAAUGCGCAGAUAUCAGGAGGAACACCAAUGGCGAAGGCAGCUCACUGGGACGGUAUUGACGCUGAGACGCGAAAGCGUGGGGAGCAAACAGGAUUAGAUACCCUGGUAGUCC